GACGAACGCUGGCGGCGUGCUUAACACAUGCAAGUCGAACGGAAAGGCCUGCUUUCCCUUGUAGAUUGCGGGUACUCGAGUGGCGAACGGGUGAGUAACACGUGAGUGAUCUGCCCCCAACUUGGGUAUAAGCCUGGGAAACUGGGUCUAAUUCCCGAUAGGACUGCAGGGUGGUGCCUGUGGUGGAAAACGAUUUUCUAGUGGUUGGGGAUGAGCUCGCGGCCUAUCAGCCUGUUGGUGGGGUAAUGGCCUACCAAGGCGGCGACGGGUAGCCGGCCUGAGAGGGUGGACGGCCACAUUGGGACUGAGAUACGGCCCAGACUCCUACGGGAGGCAGCAGUGGGGAAUAUUGCACAAUGGGCGGAAGCCUGAUGCAGCGACGCCGCGUGGGGGAUGACGGCCUUCGGGUUGUAAACUCCUUUCGACCGCGAGGAAGCCACCUGGUUGGAAGGGUGGUGACGGUAGUGGUAGAAGAAGCACCGGCUAACUACGUG
rnacentral:rRNA from 1 species